rnacentral:rRNA from 1 species
AGAGUUUGAUCCUGGCUCAGAUUGAACGCUGGCGGCAUGCCUUACACAUGCAAGUCGAACGGUAACAGCUCUUCGGAGGCUGACGAGUGGCGAACGGGUGAGUAAUACAUCGGAACGUGCCCGAUCGUGGGGGAUAACGGAGCGAAAGCUUUGCUAAUACCGCAUACGAUCUACGGAUGAAAGCAGGGGACCCUCGGGCCUUGCGCGAACGGAGCGGCCGAUGGCAGAUUAGGUAGUUGGUGGGAUAAAAGCUUACCAAGCCGACGAUCUGUAGCUGGUCUGAGAGGACGACCAGCCACACUGGGACUGAGACACGGCCCAGACUCCUACGGGAGGCAGCAGUGGGGAAUUUUGCGCAAUGGACGAAAGUCUGACGCAGCAACGCCGCGUGGGUGAUGAAGGUCUUCGGACUGUAAAACCCUGUCGUCAGGGACGAAGGUUGGGGGGUUAAUAGCCCUUUAGCUUGACGGUACCUGGAGAGGAAGCCCCGGCUAACUCUGUGCCAGCAGCCGCGGUAAUACAGAGGGGGCAAGCGUUAUUCGGAAUUAUUGGGCGUAAAGGGCGCGUAGGCGGUUUGUUAAGUCAGAUGUGUAAUCCCCGAGCUCAACUUGGGAACUGCAUCUGAGACUGGCAGGCUAGAGUACUGGAGAGGGUGGUGGAAUUCCACGUGUAGCAGUGAAAUGCGUAGAGAUGUGGAGGAACACCAAUGGCGAAGGCAGCCCCCUGGGUCGAUACUGACGCUCAUGCACGAAAGCGUGGGUAGCAAACAGGAUUAGAUACCCUGGUAGUCC